rnacentral:lncRNA from 1 species
CUGAAGGAACAUAAAAGUGACCUACUUAAAGAAAAAACUAGUACAGCCCUGGCAAUGAGCACUUAUGAGAAUGACCUACAAGCAGAAUGGCACAAAGCAGCAGAGGUUAUAAAAACUUUAAGAAAAGACAAACACACAUUACUAGCAGAAACUAUGGAAAUUCACACUAUUCAGGAAGCGAAGCGACAGAGUAGACGUCUAGUGGCAAUUUUUGUAACUACUAUAGUCGGGGUAAAGUUUGUGUUGAUUCGAGUUUACAAUGGAUUUGCGCUUUUUGAAAAGUAAAAACAAUUGUUGUGUGCCUCAAUGCUCGUCAACGUAUAAAAAUCCUGGAAUAUCGCUUCAUAAAUUUCCAUCAAA